AUUGAACGCUGGCGGCAGGCCUAACACAUGCAAGUCGAGCGGUAGCACAGAGAGCUUGCUCUCGGGUGACGAGCGGCGGACGGGUGAGUAAUGUUUGGGAAACUGCCUGAUGGAGGGGGAUAACUACUGGAAACGGUAGCUAAUACCGCAUAACGUCGCAAGACCAAAGUGGGGGACCUUCGGGCCUCAUGCCAUCAGAUGUGCCCCGAUGGGAUUAGCUAGUAGGUGGGGUAACGGCUCACCUAGGCGACGAUCCCUAGCUGGUUUGAGAGGAUGACCAGCCACCCUGGAACUGAGACACGGUCCAGACUCCUACGGGAGGCAGCAGUGGGGAAUAUUGCACAAUGGGCGCAAGCCUGAUGCAGCCCUGCCGCGUGUGUGAAGAAGGCCUUCGGGUUGUAAAGCACUUUCAGCGGGGAGGAAGGCGAUAAGGUUAAUAACCUUGUCGAUUGACGUUACCCGCCGAAGAAGCACCGGCUAACUCCGUG
rnacentral:rRNA from 1 species